AGGCAGUGUAUUUUUCUGAAAUAAAAUUAUUUAAAGUACAUCUUGACUCAUCAAGAAACAUGUGUAGUGGGGUGUGUGUCGUGGUUAAAACGUCACCCUUAUUAACUACGUGGCCAAUGGGCUCGCUCCCUACCACAGUACAAUGGUCGUUGAGGCUUCUAAGAAUGCGUCAUGGUCGAAAACCUGCCCCUUUCCUUUCGUUGCUACGGACUACAGCGUGUGACGUUAGGCUACUGAGACUGUGUGCAGGUGUGAUGUGCUGCUCACAAUCAGUGCGCUGUGACGUCAAGGCUCCCAGCUGUGUAGCAUGGUAACUUAACGUAGCUCCGGUCGGAGCGCCAGCUGUCGUCGUCACAACUAUUAAAGACGCUAUCAUGACUUUCGUAUGUACCAUCGUGAGUAUCAUGUCCUCGGACCACGGGCCACAGCGGAUCACAGGAUGUGUGAAACGUAACGAACUCCAAGGUCUGUCUGUGUUUGGUCAAAUGGAUGCACUUCUUCCAGGUCCUCAUUCUCUGCAUCUGGAAUGACUACACACCCUUCUGCAAUUCAGGCUUUCAGCAGUCCCACUGGCAGAUCAUCUUGAUGCAGUGUGCAACAUCAACCUGAACAAAACAAGGUGGCACUUGUUAACACUUUACCAAGUAAGACAACACUCAUUGAUGUAGGUCUUCAGAUCAGGAUGAGGAGUAAAUGCCUUGACCAGAGCUCUAAGCAAAGCCAGAGAAAAGUCACUCACAACCUCUUUUGGAAUUGGUGCACCUGCACGUAUCCAUUCUGUAAGCCAAUGUGUUAUUGCAUUAACAUCGUGUCUCUCUGACAGCAUUUGCACCACUGGGACACUUGAAUUCUCAUCCCCUGCCAGAACACCCUGAUAAGAUAUGGCCAGACAUGCCAUUAGGUCUCAGUUUCCUCACCACUGAGCCAGUUGCAUCAAAACUCAGUGGGGUUAGUAGACUUCUUUGAUAAUGACUUGCUGAGUGACCCCAGAAUGACCUUUGGAAUAUCCUUUUAAUACCCCCUGAACCAUUGCAGCACAAAUUAAACUUUUUACAGCACAAACAUUGCUGCUUGGUUCUUGCCUGCUGCUGUUUGGUUAUGUGUUGGUUACUAUCACUGAGAUCUGUUUUCUUUCAUUCAACUGUGUUGUAUCAGUUAUGCUGAUUCUUCUAUAGGGUAGUGGUUUUGGUCAGCUUUGGUAAACUUGCUACUUGUAAUCAGUGUGUGUGUGUGUGUGUGGGGGGGGGGGGGGUUAUCUGUGGUUUUUUUGUUUUAUUCUUUUGUUUGUCUGUCUUGUGUAUAUUGUAAUUGUGUGGGGUUGUCUUCCUCCCUUGUAGGAGCUGAGUUUCCUGAGGGGGGGUUCUUUGCUGCACCUUUCAGGCUUUUGUUGUGGAUAAAAAUGACAUGAAAUAAACACGAGGGAGAUUGAGUAUGAGUAAAAAUGUAAUUUUAUUGGUAAUUCACAGGACGGGUGGGUGCGUAGUCUGGAGGAGAGUAAGAGGGGGAGGAAAAUGGGGUGCGUCCUGGGGACAUGGGGAAAUCAGGGUGGGUGAAGUGAGCGGACCACUGAGAGUCGGGCGGACUGGUGGGUGAGAAGAGGGACGGAUGGUCG
ensembl:lncRNA